rnacentral:rRNA from 1 species
UCCGGCGACCGGCGCACGGGUGAGUAACACGUAUGCAACCUGCCCUCUUCAGGGGACAACCUUCCGAAAGGGAGGCUAAUCCCGCGUAUAUCGGUUUCGGGCAUCCGAGAUCGAGGAAAGAUUCAUCGGAAGAGGAUGGGCAUGCGGCGCAUUAGCUAGACGGCGGGGUAACGGCCCACCGUGGCGACGAUGCGUAGGGGUUCUGAGAGGAAGGUCCCCCACACUGGUACUGAGACACGGACCAGACUCCUACGGGAGGCAGCAG